AGAAAGCUUCACAAGGAUUCAGAGCAAGUAGAGUGAUUUGCUGAGGGUCACACAGCCAGGAUGUAGUGGAUCUGAGGUGUGAACUCACGCCUCCUGGCACAAAGCCCGCUCCACCUGCUGGAGGAAGGGCCUGCCAGGUCCAGCCGCAGAACACGAUCACCCGAGGAGCUCGUUAGACACUUACAGCCAGGCCCUACCCACAGACAUCUGCAGCAGCCAGGACAAGGCAUGCAGCCUGGACACACAGAAGUCAAUCAUCUCAUCCUCUGCUGGUUGCUGAGAAACACCCCCUGA